AAUGACCUAGAGAUAUCGUGAGCUGGCACAUUUAACCCGCUAAGAUUUUAAAGGGAAUCAGAAUCAAUGAUGGUGUUCAUGCUUAAAUUUAUUUAAGAAGUCUAAAAUCAUUGUGGGAUGCCCACCUGCGUUAGUUUGCAGGUUUAUCUUGCUAGUAAACGACUCUCUGGGUCAUUU
rnacentral:other from 1 species